CUACGGGGGGCACCAGUGGGGAAUAUUGCACAAUGGAGGAAACUCUGAUGCAGCAACGCCGCGUGGAGGAUGACACUUUUCGGAGCGUAAACUCCUUUUAUAUAGGAAGAAGAUGACGGUACUAUAUGAAUAAGCGCCGGCUAACUCCGUGCCAGCAGCCGCGGUAAUACGGAGGGCGCAAGCGUUACUCGGAAUCACUGGGCGUAAAGAGCGUGUAGGCGGAUUAACAAGUCAGAAGUGAAAUCCUAUAGCUUAACUAUAGAACUGCUUCUGAAACUGUUAAUCUAGAGUAUGGGAGAGGUAGAUGGAAUUUCUGGUGUAGGGGUAAAAUCCGUAGAGAUCAGAAGGAAUACCGAUUGCGAAGGCGAUCUACUAGAACAUUAUUGACGCUGAGACGCGAAAGCGUGGGGAGCAAACAGGAUUAGAUACCCGAGUAGUC
rnacentral:rRNA from 1 species